rnacentral:rRNA from 1 species
CGUAGGAGGCAAGCGUUAUCCGGAGUUACUGGGCGUAAAGCGCAUGUAGGCGGUUGGGCAAGUGGCGUGUGAAAGCUCCCGGCUAAACUGGGAGACGACAGGUCAGACUGCCGGACUAGAGUCCGAUAGAGGAGCGUAGAAUUCCGGGUGUAGCGGUGAAAUGUGUAGAGAUCCGGAGGAAUACCAGUGGCGCAAGCGGCGCUCUGGGUCGGGACUGACGCUGAGAUGCGAAAGCGUGGGGAGCGAACGGGAUUAGAGACCCCGGUAGUCCACGCCGUAAACGAUGCGAACUGGGUGUUCACUGGCCGACAGGCCAGGGAGUGCCGAAGCUAACGCGCUAAGUUCGCCGCCUGGGGAGUACGGUCGCAAGACUAA